rnacentral:lncRNA from 1 species
UCACCAUGUGGCAGCAACGGCCAUUUCGUGGCUAAGAAAGAGCCCCGGUGCCUGGCAACAAAGAGUACCCCUGGCUCAGGCUCUCUACACAUUAAUUCCACAGGGGCUGAACCUGGGACAUCCGAGCACCGCGGCCUCCUUCGCCCUUCGAUUGGUAACUGUCACCCCGUUGGCCUACUGGUCAUUGAGAGUGGUGGUAGCAUUCCAGCCAGAUAGCAGGCAAGAUGGAAGGCAGAGAGGCGGGUGAUGGGGCACGGUCCUCGCCAGGGCUCUCAACUGUGGUGCACAUUGCUGGUGGGAUCCCAUUAUUUGCCCCGAGGUCACAAGAGUAGGCAGCCUGGAGAUACCCCCACCACUCACUGGCCAACUUUGCGCGGCUGUCCUCAACAAACACAACAACAACAACAAAGAGAUCAUAGCCAAGUAGGAAAGUCAAGACAAAGUUAAGGAUGACAGUAGUUGCCUUGCUUCUCUGUGUGCCUGCUUGUCAUUGUGCUCCAGUUUUGCUGGUACUUGCCGGAUGUUGCUUUGACUGAGGUCUGGCAGAGCCCCCAGGGCAUCUUAUAAGCCACUCCUCACCUGAUCAGACCCACUGGGCCAGGACCUCAGGAUGCUUCCCAAGGCUGGAUCUCCUAUCUCUACCAGUGGGACAACUGACUGGAACCUGGAAUUCAGUGCCGUCCUUCACACCAUCAGGAGGAGAAUGAUCUAUGAUUGGCUGGUGAGCACAUGCGUGUGAGAUCAAGGCUUGAAUACAUGAGUGCUGUGGUGGUUCAAAUAUGC